UACGUAGGAUGCAAGCGUUGUCCGGAAUUAUUGGGCGUAAAGAGCGCGCAGGCGGUAUGACAAGUCAGAUGUGAAAGAGGCCGGCUUAACCGGCAAGGGUCAUUUGAAACUGUCAGACUAGAGUGCAGCAGAGGAUAGUGGAAUUCCCGGUGUAGUGGUGGAAAUGCGUAGAUAUCGGGGAGGAACACCAGUGGCGAAGGCGACUAUCUGGGCUGCAACUGACGCUGAGGCGCGAAGGCUAGGGUAGCAAACAGG
rnacentral:rRNA from 1 species